UUAGUGGAAAGGUUGGCACAUAGCUUAUCUUUGUAUGUUUGUGUUUGUACCUUAUAUGUAUUAAAUGGUUUGGUUUAGCUCCUGUUAAUAUCUCAACUCCUAUUUCACAAAGUUUGUUUUGGAGUUUUGGUGCUGUAUCUGUCUAGGCUCAUGAGGAAGGGUUCACGGACAAAGAUUGAGUCAAAUCCUGACUGGAAAUCAUUUUAAUCUGGACAUAGCAAAAUACCCAUAAUAUUUAAAAUAGACAGGUAGGCUGCUUUUUUUCACAGGUCUGUUGUCUUUUGCAUGACUAAUGCCACCCUUAAAGGUAAUUUCACAUAGACUGUCUUAAAUAAUUCCUGGGUGAACUCUUUCCUGGGUUGAUUCAAUCUAUAAAACAGUAACAGUAAAUGUAUUAAAUCUCUCUCUCGCGCAUGCGUGCACUGUGCACUGUCUCUGUCUCUGUCUCACUCACUCACUCACUCACUCACUCACUCACUCACUCUCUGUCUCGCACUCUAGAAUCCUAAAUUUCAGGAGCCUGUAACGCUGGACUUCCUGGACGCUGAGCUGGAGGAUGAGAUUAAAGUAGAGAUAAGAACGAACAUGAUUCAUGGAGAAACCGGCCACCGCACCGUACACACACUAGUGAAGUCCCAGGAUGAGCGGUACAUAGACCGAAGCGAAAGAUCGUACACAUAUGCCCCUGUAAAGGGUACAGAUUACAGGUAACAGCUACAUGUACUGUAUUUGUACCCCUA